ACUCCUACGGGAGGCAGCAGUGAGGAAUAUUGGGCAAUGGAGGCAACUCUGACCCAGCCAUGCCGCGUGCAGGAAGACGGCCCUAUGGGUUGUAAACUGCUUUUAUACAGGAAGAAACGCAUCUACGUGUAGGUGUUUGACGGUACUGUAAGAAUAAGGAUCGGCUAACUCCGUGCCAGCAGCCGCGGUAAUACGGAGGAUUCGAGCGUUAUCCGGAAUCAUUGGGUUUAAAGGGUCCGUAGGCGGUCUUAUAAGUCAGUGGUGAAAUCUUCCAGCUCAACUGGGAAACUGCCAUUGAUACUGUAGGACUUGAAUAUUUGUGAAGUAACUAGAAUAUGUAGUGUAGCGGUGAAAUGCUUAGAUAUUACAUGGAAUACCAAUUGCGAAGGCAGGUUACUAACAGAUUAUUGACGCUGAUGGACGAAAGCGUGGGUAGCGAACAGGAUUAGAUACCCUGGUAGGCGUAGU
rnacentral:rRNA from 1 species